UGCACGCGGCGCGCACCGUCAAGAUCGUCUCUGACAUUCGUGACUCCGUCGGCAAGAACUCCGUCUUCGGCCGUGUGCGCCGGCAUGCAGCAGCCUCGCCUCGCGCACACAGUAAUCCAAAGCUUCAAGUUUUCACCGGUUCCGUCUGAGCUGGAUCAAGAACGCACGCCUCGCUUCAUUGACGUGAUCGCAUCGUAGACCAUCUGGUUCUGCAUCCACAGGUCGUGUGUUCAGUUCUUGUUCUGGCAGAUAAAAGCCGUCCCCUUUUUCCUUCUUGAUUCAAUCGCUGACAUGUGAUCUCUGUCCAGCUGAAACUGGCUCCGUCAAAUCGUUAGUCUGCAUCUUGGAUGGCGUUGAAAAACACAGGCGCCUUCUUCACUUCAACAUCAGCAGCGUAGACCAGCUGCAGUCAACAUCCAGUCAUCGUCCAAGUCAGCUUCCCGGGUCCCGCACGUCUUUCCCUGGGGCUAGUUCUCUCG